rnacentral:rRNA from 1 species
UACGUAGGGGGCAAGCGUUAUCCGGAAUUACUGGGUGUAAAGGGUACGUAGGCGGCCCAUUAAGUCAGAUGUGAAAGCCCGGAGCUCAACUCCGGGAUUGCAUUUGAAACUGGUGGGCUAGAGUACAGGAGAGGAAAGUGGAAUUCCUAGUGUAGCGGUGAAAUGCGUAGAUAUUAGGAAGAACACCAGCGGCGAAGGCGGCUUUCUGGACUGUAACUGACGCUGAGGUACGAAAGCGUGGGGAGCGAACAGGAUUAGAUACCCUGGUAGUCCACGCCGUAAACGAUGAGUGCUAGGUGUCGGGAGUCGAAUCUCGGUGCCGCAGUUAACGCAAUAAGCAUUCCACCUGGGGAGUACGGUCGCAAGACUGAA